GGUGAGUUGUAUCGUUUUUUUUACCGGCGGCAGCGGUGGCGAUGGCCGGAACCUUAUGGGAAACACAAAAGUCACCUAGUUGACUAUGAAUCUUUCGCAGGUUUUGAUUUUUUAAAAGUAAUUUAUUUACGGCCCUUGUUUUUUAUCAACCUAAAUAAGAAAGAGACAAUAGGAAGUGAAAUGAGGUUGUUGUGUACAUUCGUAAUUUUCCGUGUGUAAAGUUGUUUGGGAGUCUAAACUUUUACCUGUCAUCAGCGGCUUAUUUCCUAAAAUGGCAGGGAUUACUUUUUGAAAACAUAACUUUGACAAAAGAGAAACAGCAAGACAUCCGAUAACAGUUACCGUAAGUCUACCGUGGCUAAUCUACACAAUUUGCUUGCUAAACAAAAUCUUUCUUCACGAGGACAAUUUUUAAUUGAUUUAAACCAACAUCGUCCCCAGGACCUCUUUUCGAUUUUUGAUAUAUGGGGUCCCUGGGACGAGGUUGACAUUUUACUGGUCAAUUAGUAGAUUCUGGCCCCGAAAUUGUUUAAUAAUACACUGUAGCUGAUUAAAACAGCGUAUGUAUUCCCUGAUUAUCUCACGGUCAUUUACGGCAGGAAAAAAAGUGUGCGCAUGCGCCAUUAUUUGUUAUCAAAUUUUCUGCCGCAAGCGAUUCAUAAUGGCCACCAUCGCAAGUGCUUCUAAUUUCCCUUAAAAACAAAUGUUUUUUGAGCCUCUGCGGUAGAGAUCAUCCCCUAAAAGGAUUUUAUUUUAGUAGAGCAGGCCUUGGACUAUACAAAAACUCUAGAUUCGACUACCCGAACACUUUCACUUUUGUUGGGAGGAGACAGAAAGAAUAGCAAUGUUUUGAUUAUAAAAUUUUAUAAGUUGGUGGAAAAUGAAGAUAUUUGCUUUCCAACGCAAAGUCAUGCUUUCAGAUAUGUUUUUCCUGAAAGCUGAUAGCCUGUUUUAUCAAAUAAAACCAGUGGUUUGUGGCUGCCACUUUUUUUCUGAAAGAAAUUGGUCCUCGGAAAUGACCUUUCACAAGACUUCAUAAAUCGGGCACCAGUCCCAAAUUGUUCUAUGAUACAAAACAUGUUGGCACGAUUUCAUUGAAGUAAUUUUGACCCAAUAAUUCACAAUUUCAAGCGUCAUUCAAACGUGAUUUGCAUGUGAAGAUUUGUUGACAGAAGCGGUUAAAAAAAUGAUGGAACAAUGAUGAAACAGAAGAUCUUGCUGAUUUGCUCGAUUACCACUUUUUGUUGGAUGCGUUUGAAAUAAGAAUAUAUUCGUGAAAUCCAGAUUAUGAAUUGAAAUAAAAAAUACUUGUAAUAGCCUAAUUUGUAAAGUAUUUUUAUAUAAUUCAGAUUGACUUUCGUGGUGAAAAAUCUCACAAUUAGGGAAUGGUCUAGGCUGAAAUGUCUGUGUAAAUGGUUAGCUUUUUCGUUUAACAUAUAUAUAGCUAUAUAACUGUACAAUUUUUUUCAUUUGCAAUCAUUUGCUAGUCUAACAACAACAACAAUAAUGAUAAAUAUUUAAAGUGUUUCUAGCCCAGAAAAUCACAAAAACCUAUUGUUAGUGGAUUAUUUCCAUUGGGGUCCACUGAGUCUGAGUGAAGCUAGCUUUCUCACAUUUACGUUUAGUUUUAGCAGGCUUCUAGAUAGAGAAAACUAAUCAAGACCAACCUUUAGCUAAGGUUACAGAUCAGAUGAAUUAUUUUUUUUUCCUUUUAAAAUUUAAUUUUAGUAGUAUAAUAUCGUUUGUUCUUUGUUUAUUAGCGUCUAUUUUACAUUUCUAAUA